UGUUGUAUUUUUUUUUUUUU
rnacentral:miRNA from 1 species